GUCUUUUUGAAUUUAUAUAUAAAGUCUAAUCUGCCCAUUGAUAUUUAUUUAACGGCCGCAGUAUUUUAACUGUGCAAAGGUAGCAUAGUCAUUAGUCUUUUAAUUGAAGGCUUGUAUGAAUGAUUGGACGAGAUAUAAGCUGUCUCAUAAAAAUUUAUUGUUGAAUUUAAUUUUUUAGUUAAAAAGCUAAAAUAAUUUUAAAAGACGAGAAGACCCUAUAGAUCUUUAUAUUUUAAUUUAUUAUUAUUUUUUGGUUUAAUUUUGUAAUCAUAAAAUAAAAUAUUUUGUUGGGGUGACAUUGAAAUUUAAUAAACUUUCAAGAUUUAAAAACAUUAAUGUAUGAAUUAUUGAUCCUUUAUUAUUGAUUAAAAAUUUAAGUUACCUUACGGAUAACAGCGUAAUUAUUUUGGAGAGUUCUUAUCGAUAAAAUAGAUUGCGACCUCGAUGUUGGAUUAAGAUUAAUUUUGGGUGUAGUAGUUCAAUAAAUUAAGUCUGUUCGACUUUUAAUUUCUU
rnacentral:rRNA from 1 species